rnacentral:rRNA from 1 species
CCUACGGGUGGCAGCAGUAGGGAAUAUUGCUCAAUGGGGGAAACCCUGAAGCAGCAACGCCGCGUGGAGGAUGAAGGUUUUCGGAUUGUAAACUCCUUUUGUUAGAGAAGAUAAUGACGGUAUCUAACGAAUAAGCACCGGCUAACUACGUGCCAGCAGCCGCGGUAAUACUGAGGGUGCAAGCGUUACUCGGAAUCACUGGGCGGAAAGAGCGCGUAGGCGGGAUAGCAAGUCAGAUGUGAAAUACUAUGGCUUAACCAUAGAAAUGCAUUUGAAACUGUUAUUCUAGAGUAUGGGAGAGGUAGGUGGAAUUCUUGGUGUAGGGGUAAAAUCCGUAGAGAUCAAGAGGAAUACUCAUUGCGAAGGCGACCUGCUAGAACAUAACUGACGCUGAUGCGCGAAAGCGUGGGGAGCAAACAGGAUUAGAUACCCUGGUAGUC